GCCCGCUUGGCUCAGUGGUAGAGCGUGUCACUAGUAAUGAUCACUAGUAAUGACAAGGUCGUCAGUUCAAUUCUGGCAGUGGGCA